UCAGGAGAGGAGAGGAGAGUCCAAAGGCAAUGAGAAAGACUGGAGGGAGAGAGACCGGCUUCCUUCCUUGGCCAGAAAGCCUCUUAAGCAACUCUGAACUUGAGAGAUUCAUUCCUGGAGUUUGGGAGCUGAGCCCUAUGGGAGCACUGGAAGAGAACCUUGAAGAGAGGCCGAGAGGCCAAGAGGAGAGGAGAAGAGAACCUGAGCUGCUGGAGUCCCAAACUUCAUCCCAAGGUGACCAGUCCUCCUCCCCUCGUGGGACCUGUCCUGGGGCUCCAGCCUUAGCUCCAGCUCACCUGCCUGAGCUCAUGAUCUCUUGGCUGGCUCAGCCUUCAGAAGCCCAAGGUCACCACUGCCUAACCAGCCAUGGGACUAGGACCUAGUUUGAGAUACUUAACAAAGCAAAGGAAAGCAGAGGCAUCACGGGGUGGUGGGGAAACGGCAGCAUUCUUAGACACCACCUUAAGGCCAGGAACUGAUUUUGCUUUUUGGGGGGAGGGGGAGUGUCUCCAGAUCCUACCAAUCUCUGGGUCAUAGUAGCGGAUUAAGAGAUGCUUGUUCAUAGACUGAAUGAUUAAUUGUCUGGAAAUCCACCCAGCUGCUGGUGUCUGUGCUCCCUCUCUUUUAUUCUACUUUGUACAGAGACUUGAGUUUGAAUUUUCCUCACUUAUUGGCCGACUCCAUGGGUCUGGGUAAAUUACUUCAUCUCCCUCAGUCUUCGCUUCCUCAUUUCUAAAAUGGGGACCAGAAUAGCAUCUACCUCCCAAAGUUGUGGUAAGGAUUGAAUGAGCUAUUUCUGAACUCCCUUGUAAACCUUAAGGCACCCCAUAAAUGCUAUUAUAUAUACAUUAUACAUACUGGAGUGCUGAGCCUAAAACCAAUUUUUGUGAGUUCAAAUCUGGAUCUGACACUUACUACUUGAGUGACCUUGUGCAAGUCACUUAACUCUGUUUCCCUCAUUUUCCUCAUCUGUUAAAUGAACUGGAGAGGAAGUGGCCAACUACUCUAGUAUCUUUGCCAAAAAAAUACCCCAAAUGGGAUCAUGAAGAGUCAAAGGUGACUAAAAAAUGGUUGAACAACAACAAAGGACUAAAUCUGAAUGGUGCCCACACUAAGUCCCAAAGUGCAGGGGAUCCCUGGGCUGUCUAAGGAAGGAUGAAUCAGGCCACAUAGGAACUAAAAUGGGCCCAAGCUUCCAUACCAAUCUCCUGGGAGACCAAGCCAGAAGGUAGCCACUGUACUUUCCAACACAGUGAGAUAGAGAGACCUAAUUUCAAAAAAUAAAUUGAUAAGGGUAGACUUCA
rnacentral:lncRNA from 1 species